rnacentral:rRNA from 1 species
UACGAAGGGGGCUAGCGUUGCUCGGAAUUACUGGGCGUAAAGGGCGCGUAGGCGGCACAGCAAGUCGGGAGUGAAAAGCCCGGGGGCUCAACCCCGGAAUGGCUUUCGAAACUGCUGAGCUAGAGUACAGAAGGGGCAACCGGAAUUCCCAGUGUAGCGGUGAAAUGCGUAGAUAUUGGGAAGAACACCUGAGGCGAAGGCGGGUUGCUGGACAGUUCCUGACGCUGAGGCACGAAGGCCAGGGGAGCAAACGGG